rnacentral:lncRNA from 1 species
GUUCUUUGGGUCCUAGUGUUGGAAAUGUUUAACAAAUGGGGACAAUAGUUGCAUGCUUCCAGAGCAAGGAGACCUAUUCCCACCAGUAGCUUUGGGAACUAGACUUAUAGAUUGUUUAGUAGAAACAAAUAAAAAGGUUCGUAUCUCUCUAUGGAUGGACCAAAGGCAGUGUUGUAUGCGUGAGGCCUAGGGUUGGCUUUAUCCCCCUCUCCAACCCCAACUACUCCUGGGUCAUGUCUUGUCUUCUUUCCUUCCUUAAGAGAGCCCUUCAGUUGACACAUUAGUCAAUUUUUACCUUCAUCAAAGAUGCUUUUUUUUUGGUCUUUUGUCUUUUUUGGGCUGCUUCUACAGCAUAUGGAGAUUCCCAGGCUAGGGGUCUAAUCAGAGCUAUAGCUGCCGGCCUACACCAGAGCCACAGCAACUCUGGAUCUGAGCCCCGUCACGGCAACACCGGAUCCUUAACCCACUGAGCGAGGCCAGGGAUCAAACCUGCAACCUCAUGGUUCCUAGUUGGAUUCGUUUACCCUGUGCCAUGACAGGAACUCCCCCAAAGAUGACUGUUAAUUAGAUAUGUGAAUCUGCAAUUUGUGUGUCUCCACCAGGAAUUUUGAAAGGAUAUUCUCUAGGGUACAGAAAAAAAAAAGGAGGGUACUUAGCCUCCCUACUGUAAAUGCACAUAAAUUUUUAUUACUAAGUGAAUAAAAGCCAUGAUCAGAGUCUGAAUCCUGUCCUCUUUGGGAUCCCUGUGCUCAGCCUGCUCUGCAUAUCCCAUUAUACCAGCCUUGGCUGGGAGCCGUAGAAAUACCACCGUAAGUGAUCCCGUCUUACCCUCGAAUGGAACCGUCAGUGUUACUCUAUAAAUCAGCUGGAAAAUGAGCCUGCACUCACUGAAGGAGCUUUUGCCAGCUCCCAGGAGACCACUGAGAAGUGCGUUCAUGAGGAGGGAGAGGAGUAACUGGGAACACAAGCUAGGGGCUAUUGGGAAGUUGGUACAUGUUAGCAGGCAGAGUGCCAGUGAAUAUUUAUUAUUCAGGAGUUCCUGCUGUGGUUCAGUGGGUUAAGAACCCGACAUAGUGUCCAUGAAGAUGGGGUUCUAUCCCUGGCUUCACUCAGUGGGUUAAGGAUCUGGCACAGCCCCAAGAUUCGGCCUAGGUUACAGAUGUGGCUCAGAUCCAGUGUUGCUGUGGCUGUGGCAUAGGCCUCAGCUGCAGUUCUGAUUGGCCCCUAGCCUGGGAACUUCCAUAUGAUGCAGGUGUGGUUG